rnacentral:rRNA from 1 species
AGAGUUUGAUCCUGGCUCAGGAUGAACGCUGGCGGCGUGCUUAACACAUGCAAGUCGAACGGAAGUCGCAAGACUUCAGUGGCGCACGGGUGAGGAACACGUAGCUCAUCUGCCUUCAAGCGUGGGAUAACGCUCCGAAAGGAGUGCUAAUACCGCAUAAGCUCCCGGUCUGUAGAGGUCUGGGAGAAAAGGAGCAAUCCACUUGAAGAGGAGGCUGCGGCCCAUCAGGUAGUUGGUGUGGUAACGGCGCACCAAGCCAACGACGGGUAGGGGACCUGAGAGGGUGACCCCCCACACUGGGACUGAGACACGGCCCAGACUCCUACGGGAGGCAGCAGUGAGGAAUAUUGCCCAAUGGACGAAAGUCUGAGGCAGCGACGCCGCGUGGGUGAUGAAGGCCUUCGGGUCGUAAAGCCCUUUUCUGUGUGACGAGCAAGGACGGUAGCACAGGAAAAAGUCUCGGCUAACUACGUGCCAGCAGCCGCGGUAAAACGUAGGAGGCAAGCGUUAUCCGGAGUUACUGGGCGUAAAGCGUGCGUAGGCGGAUGGGUAAGUGGGUCGUGAAAGCGCCGGGCUAAACCGGGCGAGGACGAUACAGACUGCUCGUCUAGAGGCGGAUAGAGGGGUGCGGAAUUCCGGGUGUAGCGGUGAAAUGUGUAGAGAUCCGGAGGAACACCAGUGGUGCAAACGGCGCCCUGGGUCCGAACUGACGCUGAGGCACGAAAGCGUGGGGAGCGAACGGGAUUAGAUACCCUAGUAGUCC